rnacentral:rRNA from 1 species
AGUGAACGCUGGCGGUAGGCCUAACACAUGCAAGUCGAACGGCAGCACAGUAAGAGCUUGCUCUUACGGGUGGCGAGUGGCGGACGGGUGAGGAAUACAUCGGAAUCUACUUUUUCGUGGGGGAUAACGUAGGGAAACUUACGCUAAUACCGCAUACGACCUACGGGUGAAAGCAGGGGAUCUUCGGACCUUGCGCGAUUGAAUGAGCCGAUGUCGGAUUAGCUAGUUGGCGGGGUAAAGGCCCACCAAGGCGACGAUCCGUAGCUGGUCUGAGAGGAUGAUCAGCCACACUGGAACUGAGACACGGUCCAGACUCCUACGGGAGUGAGCAGUGGGGAAUAUUGGACAAUGGGCGCAAGCCUGAUCCAGCCAUACCGCGUGGGUGAAGAAGGCCUUCGGGUUGUAAAGCCCUUUUGUUGGGAAAGAAAAGCAGCAGGUUAAUACCCCGCUGUUCUGACGGUACCCAAAGAAUAAGCACCGGCUAACUUCGUG